AGUGAACGCUGGCGGUAGGCCUAACACAUGCAAGUCGAACGGCAGCACAGUAAGAGCUUGCUCUUACGGGUGGCGAGUGGCGGACGGGUGAGGAAUACAUCGGAAUCUACUUUUUCGUGGGGGAUAACGUAGGGAAACUUACGCUAAUACCGCAUACGACCUACGGGCGAAAGCAGGGGAUCUUCGGACCUUGCGCGAUUGAAUGAGCCGAUGUCGGAUUAGCUAGUUGGCGGGGUAAAGGCCCACCAAGGCGACGAUCCGUAGCUGGUCUGAGAGGAUGAUCAGCCACACUGGAACUGAGACACGGUCCAGACUCCUACGGGAGGCAGCAGUGGGGAAUAUUGGACAAUGGGCGAAAGCCUGAUCCAGCAAUACCGCGUGGGUGAAGAAGGCCUUCGGGUUGUAAAGCCCUUUUGUUGGGAAAGAAAAGCAGCAGGUUAAUACCCCGCUGUUCUGACGGUACCCAAAGAAUAAGCACCGGCCAACUUCGUG
rnacentral:rRNA from 1 species